GACGAACGCUGGCGGCGUGCUUAACACAUGCAAGUCGAACGGAAAGGCCCUGCUUUUGUGGUGUGCUCGAGUGGCGAACGGGUGAGUAACACGUGAGUAACCUGCCCCUGACUUUGGGAUAACUUCAGGAAACUGGGGCUAAUACCGGAUAGGAGCUCCUGCUGCAUGGUGGGGGUUGGAAAGUUUCGGCGGUUGGGGAUGGACUCGCGGCUUAUCAGCUUGUUGGUGGGGUAGUGGCUUACCAAGGCUUUGACGGGUAGCCGGCCUGAGAGGGUGACCGGCCACAUUGGGACUGAGAUACGGCCCAGACUCCUACGGGAGGCAGCAGUGGGGAAUAUUGCACAAUGGGCGGAAGCCGGAUGCAGCAACGCCGCGUGCGGGAUGACGGCCUUCGGGUUGUAAACCGCUUUCGCCUGUGACGAAGCGUGAGUGACGGUAAUGGGUAAAGAAGCACCGGCUAACUACGUG
rnacentral:rRNA from 1 species